rnacentral:rRNA from 1 species
UACGGGGGGGGCAAGCGUUGUUCGGAAUUACUGGGCGUAAAGGGCUCGUAGGCGGCCAACUAAGUCAUACGUGAAAUCCCCAGGCUUAACCUGGGAACUGCGUGUGAUACUGGAUGGCUUGAAUCCGGGAGAGGGAUGCGGAAUUCCAGGUGUAGCGGUGAAAUGCGUAGAUAUCUGGGGAAGCACCGGUGGCGAAGGCGGCAUCCUGGACCGGUAUUGACACUGAAAAGCGAAAGCCAGGGGAGCAAACGGG